CCUACGGGAGACAGCAGUGAGGAAUAUUGGUCAAUGGGCGAGAGCCUGAACCAGCCAAGUCGCGUGAAGGAUGAAGGAUCUCUGGUUUGUAAACUUCUUUUAUAUGGGAAUAAAGUGAGGAACGUGUUCGAUUUUGUAUGUACCAUAUGAAUAAGCAUCGGCUAACUCCGUGCCAGCAGCCGCGGUAAUACGGAGGAUGCGAGCGUUAUCCGGAUUUAUUGGGUUUAAAGGGUGCGUAGGUGGUUAAUUAAGUCAGCGGUGAAAGUUUGUGGCUCAACCAUAAAAUUGCCGUUGAAACUGGUUGACUUGAGUAUAUUAGAGGUAGGCGGAAUGCGUGGUGUAGCGGUGAAAUGCAUAGAUAUCACGAAGAACACCGAUGGCGAAGGCAGCUUACUAGACUAUAACUGACACUGAGGCACGAAAGCGUGGGGAGCAAACAGGAUUAGAUACCCUUGUAGUC
rnacentral:rRNA from 1 species